rnacentral:tRNA from 1 species
UCCCUGGUGCCUCAGUGGUAAGGGAUCUGCCUGUCAAUGCAGGAGACACAGGUUCAAUCCCUGGUCUGGGAA